GCCUACGGGAGGCAGCAGUGAGGAAUAUUGGUCAAUGGGCGAGAGCCUGAACCAGCCAAGUCGCGUGAAGGAUGACGGCCCUACGGGUUGUAAACUUCUUUUGUCAGGGAGCAAUUGGGUCCACGCGUGGGCUUAGCGAGAGUACCUGAAGAAAAAGCAUCGGCUAACUCCGUGCCAGCAGCCGCGGUAAUACGGAGGAUGCGAGCGUUAUCCGGAUUUAUUGGGUUUAAAGGGUGCGUAGGCGGAAUAUCGAGUCAGCGGUAAAAAUUCGGGGCUCAACCCCGUCGGGCCGUUGAAACUGAUGU
rnacentral:rRNA from 1 species